rnacentral:rRNA from 1 species
UACCGGGAAACCGGGGACGUAAUACCGGAUAACACAUGAAACCGCAUGGUUUCAUGAUGAAAGACGGUUUUGCUGUCACUUAUAGAUGGACCCGCGGCGUAUUAGCUAGUUGGUAAGGUAACGGCUUACCAAGGCAACGAUACGUAGCCGACCUGAGAGGGUGAUCGGCCACACUGGAACUGAGACACGGUCCAGACUCCUACGGGAGGCAGCAGUA